CCCAAGCCUCUGGCGGCGGCGGUGGCGAAGCCCGGUGCCAGAGCCGAGCCUUGAACUUCCUCUCGACGUUGGAACCCUCCCCGAGCCCCUGCGUCCAGGACCUCGGCCCCCGCUACAGCCGACGUGGGCGGCCGUGACCACCGCGGAGGGGGAGCGCCUCGAACUCCGUCGGGUGCCCGCGGGCUCCAAGAGGUGCCCUUAGGCUCCAGGACCCAGAACCGCGCGGGUCGUUUGGUCUUCGCCUCUCUGGGGUUUCCAGCGCUAAAGCUCCCGGAGCCCUGCUGCCGCCCUGCAGACGGACUUAGCGCUGGACGGCCCCUCCCGGAUCUCGAACUGGACCCUCCUGGGCUGAACUUCAGGCGGCCCCCUAAGGCCUAGCGCGGUCGCUGACCUGGCACUGCGCGGGGCGAACCGGCAGGUGCGACCGAUCUCCCCUAAGUGAGCGCCUAACUCCAGGGCUCCAAGCCCCCGGUACAUUUUUAUUUUUAAGUAUGAAGUACACAUAAAAGGUGCACGGUGCAGAGCUGGAUGAAUGUUCGCGAAUUGCAUAUACCUGUGUAAGCGGCAGCCAAACCAAGAAACAGACCAGGACCAGCACCUUCGAUGCCCAGCUCAGCUCCUUCCAGCCCACUACCCACAUCCACCCACCCACAACCACUAUCCUGAUUUCUCACACAAGGAUUGGGUUUGCCUGUUUUUAUACUUUAUAUAAAUGUGAUCACCGAGAAUGUG